UACACUUUGAUGAACUGAACAAGCUGAGGGU
rnacentral:piRNA from 1 species